CUUAUUCUGCUGAAUCAUGCCAAGAAAGAAUUAGGCUAUUAAAGAUAAAUAAACAAGAGGUACCUCUUGUUUACUUGCUUAUAACAUAAUAUAUUAAAAAAUAGGAACAGGCUGUAUCCACCAAAAGUUGUUGCACUAUAUAUAUAUUAUCUAGAAGAUGUAUGUGUCAGUUGUGUCACUCCCAAAUUCAUAAAUUCUAGCCCUUAGAAUUCGACUAUGCUUAACCUCAACAGGUCGUCAGAGAAUUAAGGGUAUUAUGGUAAGUCGUUAGUAAGUCAAAAGGAAUGGAUAUAUGAGUCACAUAAGUGAGAAACAAACAGCCUAAACGAGAGCCCAAGAUUGUGUGAUGCAGCUGUGACUCGGUAGGACUGAAUGGUCGACUUUACAGAAUUUAAAGACUUUAUAAAGAUUGUUAUUGCUGAUGCAAUCCAAAUUGAAGCAGGAUAUUGAGUUAGAAGCCUAUAGUGUCUCUUCAAUGCUCGAAAAGGUUAUUUACAAUAUGCAGACUCUUUACAGUCCACUUUUAAAAGUGUAAACAAAAAAAAAAGUUACAGUUGCUGAGCGUGAAUCUGUUCAGAAUGAUGUUUAGAAGAGAGAAUGAUGAGUGUGCAAAUUUUAAUAAAGUUCACCAAAAUAUUAGAUAUGUCGAUGACUAUAAUGAUUAUGU